rnacentral:rRNA from 1 species
GAGUAACACGUAUCCAACCUGCCGUCUACUCUUGACAGCCUUCUGAAAGGAAGAUUAAUACAAGAUGGCAUCAUGAGUCCGCAUGUUCACAUGAUUAAAGGUAUUCCGGUAGACGAUGGGGAUGCGUUCCAUUAGAUAGUAGGCGGGGUAACGGCCCACCUAGUCUUCGAUGGAUAGGGGUUCUGAGAGGAAGGUCCCCCACAUUGGAACUGAGACACGGUCCAA